rnacentral:rRNA from 1 species
UACGGGGGGGGCAAGCGUUAUUCGGAAUCACUGGGCUUACAGGGUGCGUAGGCGGCUUAGCAAGUCAGGUGUGAAAGCCCCCGGCUCAACCGGGGAACUGCGCUUGAAACUGCUGAGCUCGAGUCAGCUAGAGGUACACGGAACUUCCAGUGGAGCGGUGAAAUGUGUUGAUAUUGGAAGGAACACCGGAGGCGAAAGCGGUGUACUGGGGCUGGUCUGACGCUGAGGCACGAAAGCCAGGGGAGCGAACGGG